GAUGGGCCUAUGGUCGAUUAGCUAGUUGGUGGGGUAAAGGCCUACCAAGGCGACGAUCGAUAGCUGGUCUGAGAGGAUGAUCAGCCACACUGGGACUGAGACACGGCCCAGACUCCUACGGGAGGCAGCAGUGGGGAAUUUUCCGCAAUGGGCGAAAGCCUGACGGAGCGACGCCGCGUGGAGGAUGACGGUCUUCGGAUUGUAAACUCCUGUCAAGGGGGACGAUGAUGACGGUACCCCUGGAGGAAGCAUCGGCUAACUACGUGCCAGCAGCCGCGGUAAGACGUAGGAUGCGAGCGUUGUUCGGAUUUAUUGGGCGUAAAGCGUGCGUAGGCGGUGCCAUAAGUCUGGUGUUAAAGCUAGGGGCUCAACCCCUGUGUUGCACUGGAAACUGUGGCGCUUGAGUGUGGUAGGGGAAGGUGGAAUUCCGAGUGUAGCGGUGAAAUGCGUAGAUAUUCGGAAGAACACCGGUGGCGAAGGCGACCUUCUGGGCCACUACUGACGCUGAGGCACGAAAGCGUGGGGAGCAAACAGGAUUAGAU
rnacentral:rRNA from 1 species